rnacentral:rRNA from 1 species
AUUGAACGCUGGCGGCAGGCUUAACACAUGCAAGUCGAGCGAGCGGCGGACGGGUGAGUAAUGUCUGGGAAACUGCCUGAUGGAGGGGGAUAACUACUGGAAACGGUAGCUAAUACCGCAUACCAUCAGAUGUGCCCAGAUGGGAUUAGCUAGUAGGUGGGGUAAUGGCUCACCUAGGCGACGAUCCCUAGCUGGUCUGAGAGGAUGACCAGCCACACUGGGAAUGAGACACGGUCCAGACUCCUACGGGAGGCAGCAGUGGGGAAGAUUGUACAAUGGGCGAAAGCCUGAUGCAGGCAUGGCGCGGGUGGGAAGAAGGCCUUCGGGUUGUAAAGCACUUUUAGGAGAGAGGCGUUAUCUGCAGAAGAAGCACCGGCUAACUCCGUGCCAGCAGCCGCGGUAAUAC